GCAUUUGUGGUUCAGUGGUAGAAUUCUCUCCUUCCAUGCAGGAGACCAGGGUUCAAGUCCUGGCCAAUGCG
rnacentral:tRNA from 1 species